rnacentral:tRNA from 19 species
UGGAGGAUUAGCUCAGCUGGGAGAGCACCUGCCUUACAAGCAGGGGGUCGGCGGUUCGAUCCCGUCAUCCUCCACCAU